AUCAACAGUCAUGGGAAGUUCCACUCACAUGAACCCAAGAGGCAAGUCUCCUUUGUCAUUUAAUAGUGGGGCGAGGCAUGGCCUCUUCGACAACUGCCUCAUGAAGAGCUGGUGUAAGCUGCUGAGCUAGACUGCAACAAGAGCUCCUUAUCAUGCUUCAGUGGGAGGCAGGCAGGAGAGUUCAGCACGACACCUCAGAUUUCCUUCAGAGUAUCACGACUGACCAGCACCAUGAGUGGCUUCGCUCAUUUAAACCACCUUAUUCUUAUGCCUCUGCAUUAGUGACUCAGCCAAAGAAAACAAAAAGCCUGCCAGAGGCAUUGCACCCUUCUUCUACAUACAGUACGAUUACAUACCAUGCAAUGCCACAGGUGCUCUUUGGAAGCAAUAAACAACGUUAUGAAAUA